CCUACGGGAGGCAGCAGUGAGGAAUAUUGCACAAUGGGGGAAACCCUGAUGCAGCGACGCCGCGUGAGUGAGGAAGUAAUUCAUUAUGUAAAACUCUAUCAGCCAGGGAGAAAAUGACGGUACCUGAGUCAGAAGCCCCGGCUAACUACGUGCCAGCAGCCGCGGUAAUACGUAGGGUGCAAGCGUUAUCCGGAUUUACUGGGUGUAAAGGGAGCGUAGGCGGCAGUGCAGGUCUGGAGUGAGAGGCGGGGGCUCAACCCCCGGACUGCGCUGGAAACUGUCCGGCUGGAGUGCAGGAGAGGUAAGCGGAAUGCGCGGUGUAGCGGUGAAAUGCGUAGAUAUCGGGCGGAACACCAGUGGCGAAGGCAGCAUACCGGCUUCGCACUGACGUUGAGGCUCGAAAGCGUGGGGAUCAAACAGGAUUAGAUACCCUUGUAGUC
rnacentral:rRNA from 1 species